GAAGCAGCAUUUUUGAUGCAAAGGCUGGAAUUGCCUUGAAUGACAAUUUUGUGAAGCUUGUGUCUUGGUACGACAAUGAGUUUGGAUACAGCUUCCGAGUGGUGGAUCUUAUCGAGCACAUGUACGCAGUAGACAACAAAUAACUUUAACAGAGAUCCUUAAUCUGUCAUUACUUGUAAUGACUUGUUACUUGUUAUUGAUACUUUAUAUCCGUAUAUGUAGUUCUGGGUCAAAUCAACAAAAAUCUGUAAACUAUUGCGGUGAAAAACUGGUGCAUAAUAGAUGUUGCUACAUUUGCUUUUGUUAGGGUUAACUCACUUAUAUUGAGACCUGUACUUUGUUGUACAUUCAUUUUUGUUGCAAAUAAAAAUAAAUGCUUGUCCCUU
rnacentral:misc_RNA from 1 species